GAAGCGAUUCCGGCUACGGAUGGUCAUGCGUCGCAUUAGCUAGUUGGCGGGGUAACGGCCCACCAAGGCGACGAUGCGUAGGGGUUCUGAGAGGAAGGUCCCCCACACUGGUACUGAGACACGGACCAGACUCCUACGGGAGGCAGCAGUGAGGAAUAUUGGUCAAUGGGCGCAGGGCUGAACCAGCCAAGUCGCGUGAGGGAUGACGGUCCUAUGGAUUGUAAACCUCUUUUGUCAGGGAGCAAAGGGCGCCACGUGUGGCGCUUUGCGAGUACCUGAAGAAAAAGCAUCGGCUAACUCCGUGCCAGCAGCCGCGGUAAUACGGAGGAUGCGAGCGUUAUCCGGAUUUAUUGGGUUUAAAGGGUGCGCAGGCGGAAUGUCAAGUCAGCGGUAAAAUUUCGGGGCUCAACCCCGUCGUGCCGUUGAAACUGGCGUUCUUGAGUGAGCGAGAAGUAUGCGGAAUGCGUGGUGUAGCGGUGAAAUGCAUAGAUAUCACGCAGAACUCCGAUUGCGAAGGCAGCAUACCGGCGCUCAACUGACGCUCAUGCACGAAAGCGUGGGUAUCGAACAGGAUUAGAUACCCUGGUAGUCCACGCAGUAAACGAUGAAUACUAACUGUCCGGGCAGAAUGAUGCCUGG
rnacentral:rRNA from 1 species